ensembl:lncRNA
CUGCAUGUUAAUUAACGUUUACAAUUGAAUUUCCCUCACCGAGAAUGUUCACAAAUCCGCUCACAAUAUGUUGACAGGACACCGAAACAGCCUGCCCUGGCCAUCAUAUCCCUUCUUUUCCGGGUCGGCUAUACUAGGUUAUUAACUUAUCCUGGAAAUGAUAAUAGUAAAUUGAACAAAUCCCAGCAUAUCUAUCUACGUUUCAUUUCGACAUUGUAAGAGAGCAACACAGAACAGGUUUAUAAUAUUUGGCUGUUUUAUUUUCUUUAAAUCAAGCAGGUUACAUUUCAUUCGUUUUUACACAAUCUGAUAUUUGGAGCCAUUUGCAAAUAUGCUCAUAAAUUACAUGAUUUGUAAUCCUUAUCGAAAAAAAUCAUAAAAGAAUGAGGUGGUUAAUGAUCAAUAUUGGGAUCAACAGUGAUCACCCUACUAAUGUAGGCAUUACGUAUGCAGGCAGAAGAAGAAAAGUUCCCAUCAAGGUCUCAUGUGAAACACCACAGGUCUGAACUACUCAGGAACACAUGAAAAUGGCACAAAAAUUAAUUUCACUCUCCAACCUUUUGCUCAAGAGACGUUGACAGGCCCACAGAGAGCCUGGAGCUCACAACAUUCACACACAUUCUGCUUCAUGAAGAGGUCAGAUUAUCGUCAGACCAUAGACAUUACAUGCAAGGACACUGAACAUUUGGCCGGAUUACACAUAGAAAUGCAAUCCAGGACAAAAUGGGUGAAGAUAAAGCAUGUUUAUUGAUGCGGCCAACAAAGGUUCAAAUAUCCUCCAAAGCACUUCAAGCCCUCAAAGAAUGAAACUCAAAACGCAGAUGAGGUAAAAGAAGAAACUUCUAAAUUAAAGUGGAGCGACCCAGGGACAAGUGUGGUUUGGGUUAAAGAUUAUGGAUGGUUAACUUUGUGUAACGUGUUUGGACAAGCAAGUUUAGGUUUUAGGCAAGCGACUUCAGGUAUUAGGUAAGCGACUUCAGGUAUUAGGCAAGCGAGUUCAGGCAAGCGAGUCAAGCUAAGGUUUUAUGCAAGCGAGUUUAGGUUUUAUGCAAGCGAGUUUAGCCAAGCGAGUACAGGCAAGCGAGUCAAGCUAAGCGAGUUUAGGUUUUAUGCAAGUCAGUUCAGGCAAGCGAGUUAAGCUAAGCGAGUUUAGGUUUUAUGCCAGCGAGUUUAGGUUUUAUGCAAGCGAGUUUAGCCAAGCGAGAACAGGCAAGCGAGUCAAGCUAAGCGAGUUUAGGCUUUAUGCAAGUGAGUUUAGGCAAGCGAGUUCAGGUAUUAGGCAAGCGAGUUCAGGUAUUAGGCAAGCGAGUUCAGGCAAGCGAGUUCAGGAAUUAAGCAAGCGAGUUUAGGCAAGCGAGUUCAGGUAUUAGGCAAGCGAGUAUAGGCAAGCAAGUUCAGGUAUUAGGCAAGCGACGCGAGUUUAGCCAAGCAAGUUCAGGUUUUAUGCAAGCGAGUUUAGGUUUUAUGCAAGCGAGUUUAGGCAAGCGAGUUUAGGCAAGCGAGUCAAGUUACUUUAGGCCUCACUUUAUUUGCGGUUAAAUUGCGGCAUUAGGUUUAGAAAGAAGGUUAAGAUCCAGGCUCAGGGUUGCUUCCAGCCUCGUCCCUCUAGCUGCUCCCUAUAAAGAGGGUUCCCAGCUACCGUGUUAAAAUACAACAGCUGGGAUUACAGAUAUGGAGUACAGAAAUAAAUGACAAAGAUUGAUUCAAACAUUCUUCCCCCCAAAAUGUGGUGCAACAUAAUGGAGAUAAUAAUUACUUCCUCUCCAUUGAAACCCAGUCAUAUCUUACGAUCUCACGAGGUCCCGCCGCAGACCCGGGGCGGACUUACAAGCUCUAUAGAGUGUGCACUGCGUGUUAAUGUUGGGUGUGGAUUAAUGUGCUGGUGUAGCCAGGGAUCCUCAGGGUUUAUGGGGAGUAGGACACACUGGUGUAGUUCAGUGCUGUGAAGUAAAUUGAUGCAAAAAGUAGAAUCAGUUUCAAGGGCAAUCAAAUGUCUAUAAAUGCAGGAACAGCCCCAUCUGGUCUCAAUCAGCAUUUGAUUUCAUAGACUUAAAUUAGCGAAAAAACAAGCAUUUAUUUACCGCAACUGUCCUAGUGCUGGAGAACCAGGUUUCAAAAAAUGUCAACACGAGCCUCCAGGUGCAUUGGAGUUACUGCAUUUAAUUAACUUUAAUUUAAUUAAGAGCACACUAGUCAGUGGAGAUGUUCACAGAAAAGACUGGUCUUCAGACCUUUAUAAAGAUCAGGAGGGAUUCUAUAAUUGCCGUUUGACGCGUUAGGUCUGUUCAAGGAGGAAGUCAAUAUUUACCAGCGUUGGGUCUCUGCACCAUGACACCCAGCCGCCGCACAUCUGGUCUCCCUUUAAGUCGCCUGAAGGAGAGGUCAACUUUAUUGAACCGAAGGGGAAUGGGUCACAUGAAAAGGAAGGAUAAAUCAAAGCUAAACAUUGGAUGAAAACAAGCAUUGUCCAACAUGGGGUUCGGCGAUAUUUUGAUGAAAAAACAUUUAGGUGUACGAUCCAACCAUCAAAAACAGGCUCUUAUCAUGUUUCCAAUGUGCCCCGAGUUGCUACGCCCUCAUCAACCACCAGGUGGCAGACUUGAUUUUGUCAGUAGAAGGAGCAAAAUAGCCAUCCAGCUUGAUUACAGCAAUAGUAGAGGAGCGAGUCAAAAUAAUGCGUUUGAGCACCUUCAGCCUUUGGCUCUUGUUCAAGGACAUCCCGCUGAUUGGCUGAAGUCAGAUCUUAUUCUCUAGAAAGUUUGUUACAGAAGAAGCCCCUAGUAUCAAAGCAACAUACCCGCCAAACAAAACUAACCUUGUUGAAUAAAUGAAAAUGUCUUCAAGAUGGUCAAUCCAGUAUCUUACCGGUUCCACAUGGAGUCUCUAGUCUGCUGCGCUGCGGGCCUUGGGUCCGUCCUCUGCUCCGGGACGAGGUCUUGAGUAUAAAGAACCAGUCAGUCAUCAAGCUGCUUGGUCUCUUCAAAGAGGUGGAGGUUUGACCAUGAGGACGCUGUGGAUACGAUUGACCUGGAGAAAGAGCUUACCUUCCAUGGAUGAGGAGCUGGUUGGUCUAAUCACGAGACGCCUUCGGACCUCCACCGCCGGAUCCCCCAGCCGUCCUCCACCGCCGGGACCGUCUCCUCCAGGACCUCCACCGGGCCGACCGCCUGUCCUCCGCAACGUCGCCUCAUUUCUUCUGAAACGUGACACACGUUCUAUUUGCACCCCGGACAUUCCUCCCCGUUCAUGAUGCACUGAUAAGAGUUUAGCUUUACUGGUUGAGGAGCCGCCACCGCCGGGCCCUCCAGGACGCCGCCGCCGCCGCCACGACGCCGCCGCCGCCGCCGCCGCCGGGCCCUCCAGGAUGCCGCCGCCGCCGCCGCCGGGCCCUCCAGGUUGGUCUCCACCACCGCCUCCAGGCCCUCCAGGUUGGUCUCCACCAACGCCUCCAGGCCCUCCAGGUUGGUCUCCACCAACGCCUCCAGGCCCUCCAGGUUGGUCUCCACCACCGCCUCCAGGCCCUCCAGGCCCACCGACUCCAGGUUGGCCUCCACCUCCAGGCCCGCUGUUGCCUCCAGGACCUCGGCCGUCUCCAGGCCUUCCAGGUUGGCCGCCUCCAGGCCCUUUGGAUGAGGAGCCGCCACCUGGCCCUCCAUGCCACCCCUUCCAGGUUGGACGCCUCCAGGACCUCCAGGCCACCGCCGCCUCCAGGCUGGCCUCCGCCUCCAGGCUGGCCUCCGCCUCAGUCCUUCUGAAAGGCGAAUGACACGUUCCAUUUGCACACUGCACAUUUCUCCCCGUACAUGAUGCAGAUAAUCAACUCCUCCUCUGCUUUAGCUCCCACAGAUCUCACUGAUGCCGUACUGUGCAGUCUUGAGUGAGGUAUUAUUUAAGCCAACAGCCAGCCACACACACGCCUAGCCUACAUCCUGGAGCUGGUCCUAGUGGCUGAGAAUGCAUCUGACAUUUUUCAGAACACCUCAGAGUUGCUACGACCGCCACGGACCUCCAGACGAGCCCCUCCAGACGACCGCCACGGACCUCCAGACGAGCCCCUCCAGACGACCGCCACGGACCUCCAGACGAGCCCCUCCAGACGACCGCCUCCAUCACCUCCACUGAAACAAGACUAAAUCUAUUUAAACACUGGAGAUUUUUUUUCUCCUCGCUCACUCAGAUGUCAAUAGCUUAUCUUCUCCCAUUCUGUGCGUUCUUGAGAAGUAUCAUUUCCUAUAAACUCCCAAACCCAGCCACACAUCUAAUCUUCAUAAGGACACUAGUCCUAGUGGCUGAGAACGCUUGGCUAACAAGCCAAGCACAACCAAUGACUGAAUUCCAUUUUAUUCUGAACCGUUUGACCACGCCAAGGAGGAGUUUAUAGGAUGUGCAGUUCCACGGCUCACCCGUCUGUUCCUGUAGGACUGGACGGCUCCUGGCCACCAUCCACCUGCAGCUCCCAGCUCCAGACCCGCUCUGUUGAAGCCUCUGGGAGUACAAUCCGCUCCUGAACAAAAACAAACCACUGUUCAUAAAUCAUUUUGUACUCUGCAAUCCUUGGAAAUAUAAUGAAGCAUGAGCUCGAAUAGAAAAUGUUCAAAUCCUGUAUAAUGAUUGUUGUACAAAUGUGUAUAGUUCUAGAUAACUUUUUUACUUCUAUAAAACAUUUAAUGAAUAGUGGGAAACUACAUAAGAAAAGUAAAUGAAUGCGGUUUUAACGCGGUUAUAUUAGUAAAGCAAGUCUUACCCAAAAAGUCAAUAAAUGGUGACCACAUUAUUAUUAUUAUUAUUAUUAACUAUUUAGUGCUUCACUAAAUUCCUAUAGCAAGUGGAAACGUUACUCUCCUUCAUUGGUGAUGUUCAUGUUCCUCGAUAUCUUCCAAUGGACUCGUUGUGAAAUUCUUCUGGAUCCUCUGCGUUGAAGUCAUGGUUGAAGUGCGUUGUUCAAUUUCCAAGGGGCGUGUCUAAAGGGCGCGAUAUAAAAUGGGUCGAUGCUAUGCUAUUGGGUAGGCCGCGACUAAUCAUAGUAUUGGAACGGGUGAUGCAGAAAUACAUAUAUUCCUCAAAAUCUUUGAGUAGUAGUCGUUCGUUCUUUUAGUGAGCAUAUACAGUAUUUAGUUCACUAACUUCCAUCUUUGUUGUUGAAACACCUCUACAUGUUGCGUAUAUCCAACCUCACAUUAGAUAGCCUAAAGGGUUGCUAUUGGUCGGUUUAUUUCGUACCGGGCAGAAAACGUUAUAUAACGGAGGGGCGCCUGACCGCAUCUUUGAAGAGCAAAUUAUAUAUGAGGUCCGUCUAGUUCCGAAGUUAUUGGUUUAAUACGCAAAACUAAUAUUGAAAUGUUAAUUUUGGCAUUUAAUUUGCAUCUACAUUUUGCCAGUGAUGGAGUUUAGGUUUGCCAAUCCGAGGUCUAACAGGCAGUAAACAUGUUCAUUAAAAUACAAAUGCAAAGUCCACAGAACAUACGCGAAUAAAAACCACAUUGCACCACUAGCGGUCAACAGCAGCAGCAACAAGUGUAUUGAAAGUAGAAAAGUAGUAAAGAGAAGAAUAGAAUUGGGAGAGUGGUGUGCAAGUCAGACACCGCAUCUAACCCAGGACCACCUUGCAGAUCACAAGCAGCAAACCUUCUACCAGACCAACCAAACACACAUCAACAGGCCCCCAGUCAGUAGGGUCAGUCAGACAGGUUUCCACAGAAGGGCUCAGUGGGGUUAUGGGUUGAGGAAAAACAGAACCCUUUCUUCCUUCCACAAGUUUCCAUCCUGGAUUUUUCGGACAUGUGGAGUCGGACAUGUUUCAAGUUAUCCGUGGAUUCCUGAGGGCAGUGAAGUAUCUGCAGAAGGUGACGUCCAGCGGUCUGCGGCAUUGACCACGAGAUUUAACCGAGUGGGACCGCCUCUGUAUGUAGUCGGCCUAGCUACAACAGUUUGUGUUCAACAGCGUGGAGGUCCUGUAGUUUCCAUCAGAGUUGCUGCAGUUCUUCCAUGCUGCUUCGACAGUGAGCAGAGGACACUUCCCAGUGUGGUGGUCGGUGCUGUAGCGGUCCGCAGCGUUAGUUAGUCAGUCGAUCCCAUAGAUAAACCACUCAACACAAACUACCACUUCCAUCAGCAAAUCCACAUUAACCUCCAGCGGUAAAACAUGUACAAUAGAGGGGCGAGAACAGACGACAUGAGGAGAUGGGGAGAGUGUAACAUGUGCAGUGCUCAUGAAGGAAGUACCCCGCGUUACUCACUGCGUGGGUCCCGGUGGCGGGGGUCCACGUCGGUGGCCACGAUGUCCGGAUUGUUCAGCACACGCAAUCCAACGCAAAAUAAACGAUUAACAUCCGUCACGGUGGGGGCGCUUUUGGGGAGAGGCGGGGGAGACGCAGCUGAAAUCAAUUAAGAACUAGCGACCAGAAGAACGUGAUUGGUUGUGAGCGAGAAGCUCGAGACGAGAGGCCUGCGUAUUGGUUAGAGCAGUGGUUUUCAAACUGUGGGGCGCGCCCCCCCUGUGGGGGCGCGACGUGAGAAAAAAAUAAACCCG